UACGUAGGGGGCGAGCGUUGUCCGGAUUUAUUGGGCGUAAAGAGCUCGUAGGCGGUUUGGUAAGUUGGAUGUGAAAUCUCCAGGCUCAACUUGGAGGGGUCAUUCGAUACUGCCAUGACUAGAGUUCGGUGAGGGGAGUGUGGAAUUCCUGGUGGAGCGGUGAAAUGCGCAGAUAUCAGGAGGAACACCCGUAGCGAAGGCAGGUCUCUGGGCCGCAACUGACACUGAGGAGCGAAAGCAUGGGGAGCGAACAGG
rnacentral:rRNA from 1 species